CACCGGAGGAUAAGUCAACGGAGGAGAGCUUGGGUCGUGAGCGUUUCGUAUUGAAUCAGUUGUGUUGAAUAUUAUUUUUCUCAAUAUUUGUCCGUGGAAGAAUAAUUUAGCACUGACAGUUUUGCUGUUAGUUAUUUAUUUUUAAUGAGAUUUCGGUUCACAGUAAUUACGGCUCAUUCUUCGCCACUAACAAACUGGAGAGAUGAUGAUGAUAUACAGUUUUUUUCGGAAUCCACACUGAAAACUGAAUGACUGGUGCCCACAGAAGGAGGACCUCAUGUAUGGACAAAGGAGACUGCACGGACAUCCUUAGUUCUCAAAUGGGCUGUGAUGAUGAUGAUGCCAGAAAACCACUUCCAGUUCAGCUUCCUCUGAUGAAAAGACAGAUCAGCUGUUUAGACAUUUGUUAUGUGCCGGUCAGAACUUGCCUGCUUUAGUUCCUGGCUGCUCCAAAGCCUCAAAUGAUGUCACCUACUCUCUGUGAUGUCAGUUAAAAGCAACACUACGUUGUUUAUAGACAAAACAUAUUAAUGUGACGGGUGGUAAAUCAAAAUGAGGGACACACACAAAUCAUUACAUUUUUUACAAAAAAGUAUGUUUUUAUUAAAAAAAUAUCUUAUGUAAAUAGGGACACACAUAUAAUCCUGACAAUAAUAAAGGUUUGAUAAAGCAACAUUUAAUGGUGAUAUUUUUCGAUACAGAUGAAGGAAAAAUGGCUAAAAAAUACUAUGUUAGUCUUUAUAAAUUGUAUUUUCUCAUUUAAUAUCAUGGUAAGAGUACUUGGUUUUAAUUGGAAACCUACUUUUACACAUUUUUGCGCCUUAUGCAUCUCAUCAAAUGUUGCGGACCCAAAUGGCUCCCGUUUCAUAAAAUGACUCAUCUAUCUUCUGUAUGGGGAUAUAGAGGUACAGCUUUAUUGCAGAUCAACUUCUGUUAGGGCAUGUACAUGUGUGUAUACAUGUCUUGCUGUGGUUGUGGGGACAAAUUUGUGUUUGAAACCAUCAGCGUGAGGUUAUUUUGGCCAGUCGUGACAGCUUCAAAAGGCGGGAGGGACACCUGCAGUGACUGAGAUCAGUGUCAGGAUGAGACUCAAUGUAAUGUCCUUUGUAAAGAUUGAUACUUGAGGAGUGAAAUACACGCACCAAGCAGCAGGCACGUUCAAAAGUUCUCCAGGAAUUUUCUAGUACUUUUAAUAUUAUCCUCUACCGGCGCAAUCUUCCGUAAUUGUGUCAUCAGUUCUGCUCUUGUUAAACUUUCUGCAUGAUAUAAAAAUAUGUUCAACUGAGCUUCAGUGCAGUCACCUGGAUUUUAAAGUGUGUUUUGUCUGUAUGGUAAUAAGGCUGCACUGCCUCUGUGACGGGAUUGGUCGGAGCAGAGAGGAGGAGCCUCCGACUCCACGGCCAUCUUCUCCUAUUGGUGCGGCAAUGACUCUGACAGCCCUCACCACAGCUGCAGCCGUUUAAGCAUCAGAGGAAGAGAGUUUAAGAGCCCGGCCCGCACAUCAUUAGUGGCGGCUGACAUGAUAUGCAGCUCGCCUCUGUACUGCCUUUGUGAACAUUUGUGUGUAAUUUGUGAUUUGGUUUGGGAUGCUGGUAGUGAUUGUUGGGGGCUGGGUUAGGGUUUAAAAUUCUGCUUGUGCAUCACACCCUUAGAAAAAGGCUUUUAGGCACAUUAGGAACAGGGGGGCUGCUUUCUUGUGUUUUUGGGUUGGUUAGAAUCACAUAGUUAGGCUCUUUGUUGGCUCCUGUUCCCCUACUUCAGUUAUCCUCUUGCCUUGUUUGUAUAUCUGUUUACUUAUUUACCCUCCUGUUAACGCAAUAAAUUAAAUCAGUAAACCUGAUUUACCAAUAACACCUGGUUUUAUGUUGCUUCCCUUUUCCCCUAGCUGGGUCGUAACACAAAGCCUUCCAACAUAUGGUGACUGGGAAGAUGGAUGCCAGAAGCCAACGUGGUGGUAGUGAACUGAAACCUGACUCUAUGAGCAGUCCGCGGUCAGACCAGAAGUCCAGUCUAAUCACCAAUGAUGGACCAGCACCUGCCUUUUCUUCUGCAUCUGGCCUCAUCAAUCAACACCAUUACAUCAACACCUUGAGGUGCUGACCAGACUCUCCCUUCAGCAAAAGGGUCUGUCCUUACAGACACAUACAGGUGGGAUAAGGACAGCCCUUUAACUUCAAUGCCUAACCCUUCCUAAACUCGUCUGUUUAGGAAGUAACGCGUUUAGGAAGUAACGCGUCUCAUUCUGGGUGGACUUCUGGAAUAUGCAGCCUUUUAACUCUCAAAGGACAUUUUCUAUUCAACCACUGAAAUCACAUGAGGUCUCCAUUGUGCAUGUUUACAGCAGUAACCUUGUAUAACUACAGGGAAUAAUCUGUUGGCAUAAGAGUGUAGUUUCAAAGUAUGCUCUUUGGUAAGUGCAAUAACAUAAGAUAGCCAGUAGAUGGAGCUCAGCGUAUUAGGCAACAAAAGGAUUAUUUCAGUAUCUAAAUCCUACUUACUUAUGCCAGGCCACAGCAUACGUCUUAUCACCUUUACUACCACAUUCAAUAAGUAUUAAUCUGUGAUUUAAAAAAAUACAGUGAUUCAAUAAAUAUUUUUAAAGUAUACAUGCAUCCCUCAAACCCUAAAGGUUGUUUUACAUCAGAAGUGAAUACAUUUGGUCAGAGCUUGAGAGUGUAGUGGAUGUUUAACACUCUUAACACACUCUUCUUUAACACUCUCAUCUUUCUGGCUUGUUGGCUCCAGAGAAAACACUGGUUGCAAUUAGCUGGGACUGAAGAUGAUUAGAAGCUGGAACAGACCUAUUUCUGUAUAUGAAAUACUCUGUCUUGUAUGAUUCCAUGUGAUAAAUCUGACCUGUUAUUUAUUUGUUAGUUUUACGAUAUUGUUGUAACGACUAUAAUCUUUAAUAAUCUGUUAUACUGUUAGUUCUGCACCUUUCACUGCAGCAGCAACGAUACAGUUUCCCCACAGGGAACAUAAAGGUUUCAUUAAAUGACACAUUGUGCUCUGUGAAACUGCUGACUACCAGCAGCACUUAGAGAGAGGGACUCAGAACUGAGUCAGCCCAGUGAUGCUGAUGAGACAGGUCUAAGAGGAGGUAGCAGGGAAAACACAGCUACAGGUGACCACACUGGCACUGCACAGCAAGUUACCAUAGGGAAGGGAAGUUACUAAGACAGAAAGUUUCAAACCCAGUGUCAUUUAGCCUCUUCCUACACAUUCUUACUUUACUGUGAAAAUUAAUUAAAGGUAAAAAAGUAAGGAUUUUCAUACCUUGAUUUUUUUUAACAACCUUCAUAUAUUUUAUUUAAUCUCAGUUCAAGUUUCAUGCAUA